UGUUAAACCGGAGGAAGGUGGGGAUGACGUCAAGUCCUCAUGGCCUUUAUGACCAGGGCUACACACGUACUACAAUGGCCGAUACAAAGGGCAGCGACACUGCGAGGUGAAGCCAAUCCCGUAAAAAUCGGUCUCAGUCCGGAUUGGAGUCUGCAACUCGACUCCAUGAAGUUGGAAUCGCUAGUAAUCGUGGAUCAGCAUGCCACGGUGAAUACGUUCCCGGGCCUU
rnacentral:rRNA from 1 species